rnacentral:rRNA from 1 species
UAGGGAAUUUUCGGCAAUGGGGGGAACCCUGACCGAGCAACGCCGCGUGAACGAAGAAGUUAUUCGUAAUGUAAAGUUCUUUUAACAGGGAAGAAAGAGAAAUUUGACGGUACCUGAAGAAUAAGCUCCGGCUAACUACGUGCCAGCAGCCGCGGUAAUACGUAGGGAGCGAGCGUUAUCCGGAAUUAUUGGGCGUAAAGGGUGCGUAGAUGGCAUAGUAAGUCUUUUGUAAAAAUGCUGGGCUCAACCCAGUAGGGCAAAAGAUACUGCAAAGCUAGAGUAUGACAGAGGCAAGUGGAACUACAUGUGUAGCGGUAAAAUGCGUAAAUAUAUGUAAGAACACCAGUGGCGAAGGCGGCUUGCUGGGUCGAUACUGACAUUGAGGCACGAAAGCGUGGGGAGCAAACA